GGUAGGGUAAAUGCUGGUAUAUAAGGGCCUUAGUGCUCAUAACCCGAAGGUCACAGGUUCAAAUCCUGUCCCCGCUACCA
rnacentral:tRNA from 1 species